UAAGCGGAGGAAAAGAAACUAACUAAGAUUGCCUUAGUAACGGCGAGUGAAGCGGCAAAAGCCCAAAAUGGUAAUCUUCACGUUUCACGUGACGAAUUGUAAUCUAAAGGAGGGAUACUCAAUUGGAUGUGACGCAGAAGUGCCCUAGAACGGGCCGCCAAAGAGGGUGACAGCCCCGUAUGUGGUGUUAUGUCUUAACGAGUACCUUUCAACGAGUCGGGUUGUUUGGGAAUGCAGCCCUAACUGGGAGAUACACUUCUUCUAAGGCUAAAUAUUAAUGGGAAACCGAUAGCGAACAAGUACUGUGAAGGAAAGAUGAAAAGAACUUUGAAAAGAGAGUCAAAAGACUUGAAAUCGUUGAGAAGGAAGCGGUAGAAAUUUAUUCUGUUGGCUUGAAUGAAGGUGUUCGUCAAAUCAUUGCAGCUCUGAGUACUUAAUCGGCUUUGGGCUGCACUUGAGGAAGUGAUAGCUGGAUUCAAGUUGAUGAGGCAAAAUGGGGUUUCUUAGUCAUAAAAGCUUGUGUAGAAUGGAAAGGUUCGCCGAUCAUCUGCGCUGUGCUUAUGUUUAGGAAGCCUGAGGGUGCUUUUGCGAUUUUGCUAAAAUGGUUUUUACCGACCCGUCUUGAAACACGGACCAAGGAGUCUAAC
rnacentral:rRNA from 1 species